rnacentral:rRNA from 1 species
AGAGUUUGAUCAUGGCUCAGAUUGAACGCUGGCGGCAGGCUUAACACAUGCAAGUCGAACGGUAACAGGGAGAAGCUUGCUUCUUUGCUGACGAGUGGCGGACGGGUGAGUAAUGCUUGGGAAUCUGGCUUAUGGAGGGGGAUAACUACGGGAAACUGUAGCUAAUACCGCGUAAUAUCUUCGGAUUAAAGGGUGGGACUUUCGGGCCACCUGCCAUAAGAUGAGCCCAAGUGGGAUUAGGUAGUUGGUGGGGUAAAGGCCUACCAAGCCGACGAUCUCUAGCUGGUCUGAGAGGAUGGCCAGCCACACUGGAACUGAGACACGGUCCAGACUCCUACGGGAGGCAGCAGUGGGGAAUAUUGCACAAUGGGGGGAACCCUGAUGCAGCCAUGCCGCGUGAAUGAAGAAGGCCUUCGGGUUGUAAAGUUCUUUCGGUGAUGAGGAAGGUGUUUGUUUUAAUAGAACAAGCAAUUGACGUUAGUCACAGAAGAAGCACCGGCUAACUCCGUGCCAGCAGCCGCGGUAAUACGGAGGGUGCGAGCGUUAAUCGGAAUGACUGGGCGUAAAGGGCACGCAGGCGGUGACUUAAGUGAGAUGUGAAAGCCCCGGGCUUAACCUGGGAAUUGCAUUUCAUACUGGGUCGCUAGAGUAUUUUAGGGAGGGGUAGAAUUCCACGUGUAGCGGUGAAAUGCGUAGAGAUGUGGAGGAAUACCGAAGGCGAAGGCAGCCCCUUGGGAAUAUACUGACGCUCAUGUGCGAAAGCGUGGGGAGCAAACAGGAUUAGAUACCCUGGUAGUCCACGCUGUAAACGCUGUCGAUUUGGGGAUUGGGCUUAGAGCUUGGUGCCCGUAGCUAACGUGAUAAAUCGACCGCCUGGGGA